UACGAAGGGGGCUAGCGUUGUUCGGAAUUACUGGGCGUAAAGCGCACGUAGGCGGAUAUUUAAGUCAGGGGUGAAAUCCCAGAGCUCAACUCUGGAACUGCCUUUGAUACUGGGUAUCUCGAGUAUGGAAGAGGUGAGUGGAAUUCCGAGUGUAGAGGUGAAAUUCGUAGAUAUUCGGAGGAACACCAGUGGCGAAGGCGGCUCACUGGACUGGUAUUGACGCUGAGGUGCGAAAGCGUGGGGAGCAAACAGG
rnacentral:rRNA from 1 species